rnacentral:lncRNA from 1 species
GUUAACCCCCCGGCAGCCUCGUGGUACAAGCUGGACUUUCAUUACCCUCAAGAUAUGAUGAGGAAUAGGAAGUUUCUGACCUAAUUCCAUCAUCUCAGUUUCCUCCUUAUCAUCAUUCCCAGGUUCUGUGGGACAUUUCUUCUGACAUCUCAUCUCUUAUGAGCUCAUCUCUUACGGCCUGCAACAGGGAACAAGAUUUUCAUAACCCUUUAGCAGUUCUGAGGUGGAGGAUGGGAUCUUUCCAAAGCACUCACCCUGUGAAUUGCCCUUCUGUGGAAAUAAGUGAGAUCAGGAAUUUCAACCUCUGAUCAACGACACAAUGUGAGACUGAGACUUGCAGAUAAAGGAAGGAUUUACACUGGAAAACUGAUGGGAACCAGUUUCCUAUCAGCAGCUGAGAUGCAAUUCCUGGCUCCACUUUUCUAGGGAAUCACAGUGUACAGACCUGGACAGCAUCAUGAGCACAGUGUAAGAGACCAAGUACCUCUCGUGGGCUGAGUGUGUGAAAUCCUGAGGCCAAUACUUCUUGCAAACUCAGGACAUGAGGGAGGGUGGGAGGGGGAAACAUCAGCUCAUAAAGCUUUGCCUGCUGGCUCAGGAGCAGGGAAAGAAAUGAAUAAAAAUUGAAUAUAGUUCUGUUUCUUUUUUAGG